AACGCACAUUGCGCCCUUUGGUAUUCCGAAGGGCACACCUGUUCGAGCGUCAUUACACCAAUCAAGUCUUACUUGGUAUUGGGCUCUUUUGUCCCUAAGAAAUUAGGGACAGGCCUUAAAGACAUUGGCGGCAUAGUCCGGCUUCGAGCGUAGCAAAAAACAUCGCUUUUGGAGUUAACUGGAUUAUUGUUCUUUUGUCCAUAAAACUAGAGUAGAAAUACUCGACUUUUUCAAAGGUUGACCUCGGAUCAGGUGGGGAUACCCGCUGAACUUAA
rnacentral:misc_RNA from 1 species